UGCGUAGGCGGUGUGGUAAGUCUGUUGUGAAACCUCCGGGCUCAACUCGGAGCCUGCAACGGAAACUGCCGUGCUGGAGUAUGGGAGAGGUGAGUGGAAUUCCCGGUGUAGCGGUGAAAUGUCGUAGAUAUCGGGAGGAACACCUGUGGUCGAAAGCGGCUCACUGGACCAUUACUGACGCUGAUGCACGAAAGCUAGGGGAGCAAACAGGAUUAGAUACCCUGGUAGUCCUAGCCCUAAACGAUGAUCGCUUGGUGUGACAGGUACCCAAUCCUGUUGCGCCGGAGCUAACGCGUUAAGCGAUCCGCCUGGGGAGUACGGUCGCAAGGCUGAA
rnacentral:rRNA from 1 species